AAAAUAAAGCUCACCAGCAGCGACAGCUUGCUCACAUCAUCAGUUAUUGGGGGUCCGAGUUUUCCACAGCACAGAUUCCAACUUGUCAACAGACUCAAGAGGAGACAAGGUGCCUUGAAGAUCUGCAAAGAAGUCCGAUUUGUCAGGCUUAACACAAGCUCAUCUGCCUUUGUCAACAACAAGACUGGAACCAAAUAUAUCAUUUUCAAACAACAGGGCGCAACGCUCCACGCGUGUACCCCUAACGAAAUACAAUUCGAAGAUCCACGCAAACGCGUGACGAAUCAGACAAAACGGACAGAGAAGAAGCCGGGCUUACUUUCUCCCUCAUAUGGAGCACAAAUGCA